CAGCUAGUUGGCGGGGUAACGGCCCACCAAGGCUUAGAUCGGUAGCCGGCCUGAGAGGGCGCACGGCCACACUGGCACUGAAACACGGGCCAGACUCCUACGGGAGGCAGCAGUGGGGAAUCUUGCACAAUGGGGGCAACCCUGAUGCAGCGACGCCGCGUGAACGAUGAAGCCCUUCGGGGUGUAAAGUUCUUUCGACGGGAACGAUAAUGACGGUACCCGGAGAAGAAGCUGCGGCUAACUACGUGCCAGCAGCCGCGGUAAUACGUAGGCAGCGAGCGUUGUUCGGAGUUACUGGGCGUAAAGAGUGCGUAGGCGGUCAGCCAAGUUUGGUGUGAAAUCUCCCGGCUCAACUGGGAGGGUGCGCCGAAAACUGGUUGGCUAGAGUAUGGGAGAGGAAAGCGGAAUUCCUGGUGUAGCGGUGAAAUGCGUAAUAUCAGGAGGAACACCUGUGGUGUAGACAGCUUUCUGGACCAUAACUGACGCUGAGGCACGAAAGCGUGGGUAGCAAACAGGAUUAGAUACCCUGGUAGUCCCCGCCCUAA
rnacentral:rRNA from 1 species